UAAAGAACAAAUUGAUCGCCAGGGUUGAUUUGACUGAUCUGGCUGGCUAGGCGGGUGUCCCCUUCCUCCCUUCCUUCCUCACCGUUCCACAGCAUCCCUCCUGAAGCUGUGCAAGAGCUGUGUGGAAGAGGACGGCCCUCCCAGAAAUAGAGACAGACCGGUCUUCCGUGGAGAAUAUAGGAGUAGUUGCACUCCCCUGCUAGAACCUCCAAAAAAAGAACAAAUUACCAGGCAAGGGUCAGUGAAAUAGUAUAAUUAUUAUACAAAGAAACUCUCAUGCCUGAGU
rnacentral:snRNA from 1 species